AUUGGAUGACUUGAAAUAAAUGAAAGCCCAAAGCCCAAACAACACAAAGAGGGCCGGCCAUUUUAGGUGUGGAAAGGGUGAGAUAUUUAGUCAAGUUGUUGGCUAGGUUUCUUAUGUCUAUAUAAGGAACUUUAUAGUGAUAUUGUUCAUAAGGGUUUUUGUGUGGUUAAAAACAACAAAGAGGCAAAAGAAUAUCUCUCUAAAAACUACACAAAGGCCGGCCACCUUGGGGUGAUUUUACUAACAUAUCUUUCACCCUUUGGUUAUUCCUUCAUCCUUCUCACUACUCUAGUGAGUGAGGAUCUUUAGAGGUUUCCUACUUUGGAAACUUGAAGAGAACCUAGG
rnacentral:lncRNA from 1 species